UACGUAGGGUGCGAGCGUGUCCGGAUUAUUGGGCGUAAAGAGCUCGUAGGCGGUUUGUCGCGUCGGCCGUGAAAUCUCCACGCUUAACGUGGAGCGUGCGGUCGAUACGGGCAGACUUGAGUUCGGUAGGGGAGACUGGAAUUCCCGGUGUAGCGGUGAAAUGCGCAGAUAUCAGGAGGAACACCGGUGGCGAAGGCGGGUCUCUGGGCCGAUAUUGACGCUGAGGAGCGAAAGCGUGGGGAGCGAACAGG
rnacentral:rRNA from 1 species